UGAAUUCGAUAUGUGACGUUGUGGGCU
rnacentral:sRNA from 1 species